AACGAACGCUGGCGGCAGGCUUAACACAUGCAAGUCGAACGGGCGUAGCAAUACGUCAGUGGCAGACGGGUGAGUAACACGUGGGAAUAUCCCUCUCAGUUCGGAAUAACUCAGGGAAACUUGAGCUAAUACCGGAUACGUCCUUCGGGAGAAAGAUUUAUCGCUGAGGGAUUAGCCCGCGUCUGAUUAGCUAGUUGGUGAGGUAAUGGCUCACCAAGGCGACGAUCAGUAGCUGGUCUGAGAGGAUGAUCAGCCACACUGGGGCUGAGACACGGCCCAGACUCCUACGGGAGGCAGCAGUGGGGAAUAUUGGACAAUGGGGGCAACCCUGAUCCAGCCAUGCCGCGUGAGUGAUGAAGGCCUUAGGGUUGUAAAGCUCUUUUGCCAGGGAAGAUAAUGACUGUACCUGGAGAAUAAGCCCCGGCUAACUUCGUGCCAGCAGCCGCAGUAA
rnacentral:rRNA from 1 species